AAAGCUGUCCAGAGCGAACGAAUAACCUAUUGUGACAUCGAUAGCUACUUGUACCGGCUAAAUACAGUUCCGCAAUCAAACAUGAAAGCGAACAACUACAUUAUCUCUUUUAUUUAUUUUUUUUUUUUUCUAUUCCCCCAAAAUAUCUCCAACUUUUCAACGUCUGUUUUUGCGGGUUUUUAAUAAUAAUUAAAAUAUGAUAACAAUAAUAAUGAUAAUAAUAAUAAUAAUAAUGAUAAUAAUAAUAACUAGAACAAGUUUAUUUUACAAUAAUAAUAUCCAACAAUUAAACAGUAGAUGGAUUGUAAUUACCCUCCACGAUUAAAACGUUGCCGUGGCAACACACAUCAGCAGUCGGCCAGGCAUCCAGCAGUAAUUUAGGCUUUCACGUGGCAAGGAUGUUGUCCCCUUACUGAUGACGUCAUCACUCGCGACAGUUCGUUUCUUCCCGCCCACGCCAGCCAGCCAGCUGCCUCUUUCUCCCCUUAUACAAUUUGCCACGUCACUCACUGUGCUGACAUGACUAAUAUAACUCCUCUCUCUCACUACUCACUAGCUUCCAGAAUUCGGAGCGAUUUUCAUCUGAUACUAAUGAUAAUGAGGUUCGAAAACUUCAAUCCCAGCCGUGGGAUCAUCCACGUCACAUGGCUGCUGCUCCUCUGGCCGAC
rnacentral:lncRNA from 1 species